GUGAGGAGGUCAGAGCCAUCCGCAAUACCAGCUCCAAUGAAUCGGUAGAUGCUGGGGUACUCCCUUUGGAUUUGCCCUUGCACAACAUUGAGGAGCUAAACAAUGCAGAGGCAGCUCUUCAAUUGCAAGAGGCAAAUAAGGCAAUGGUGAGACGCUUUGCCUUGAUUGGAGGGACCACACUGGAGGUGCAAGUCCGCCGUGUAAUGGCUUAUGCCAUCACAAACGAGCUGGCCUCAGUACUAAACUGGGCAGGGAAAAAAACAAAGGACCAGACGAAGCAAAAAAGGGCAUUUAAAGAUACUGCGCUGUGCAGAUGCAUAUUUGAUGGCCUGACGCAGCAGUUAGGGGCAAACUCUAUGU